rnacentral:rRNA from 1 species
GUGGGGAAUAUUGCACAAUGGGCGCAAGCCUGAUGCAGCGACGCCGCGUGAGGGAUGACGGCCUUCGGGUUGUAAACCUCUUUCAGUGCCGACGAAGCCUUCGGGUGACGGUAGGUACAGAAGAAGCACCGGCCAACUACGUGCCAGCAGCCGCGGUAAUACGUAGGGUGCGAGCGUUGUCCGGAAUUACUGGGCGUAAAGAGCUCGUAGGCGGUUUGUCGCGUCGUCCGUGAAAACCUGGGGCUUAACCCUGGGCGUGCGGGCGAUACGGGCAGACUUGAGUACUGCAGGGGAGACUGGAAUUCCUGGUGUAGCGGUGAAAUGCGCAGAUAUCAGGAGGAACACCGGUGGCGAAGGCGGGUCUCUGGGCAGUAACUGACGCUGAGGAGCGAAAGCGUGGGGAGCGAACAGGAUUAGAAACCCCAGUAGUCC